AAAAUUUUAUUGGUGAGGUAGUAAUACCUGUUCACCACGGUUGUCAGGAUGCUGAACAGCUCCAACUGAAGAAUCAUUCUCAUUGGGAGAGACGGAAAUUUAAGCCUUGAAAGAAGAAAGAGGGAAAAGAAUAUGGCAGGGGAGAAGAGCAGAAAGAAAAUCGGAGGCAUGGGUGAAUUAGUUACAGACAGGAUAGUUAGCUCAGUUAGGUAAGAAGCAUAGCCAUGUCAUAAAUGUCCUUGAAAAUCAGUGACCACACCUUUAUAUGUAAGUGUAAUCUACUGCUUACCUCUUAGAAAGCAUCAAGAUAAUUAUUCCAGUGGCCAAUGCUACAAAGAAGCAUCAGUGUUUUUGUAACUGCUGUUCCCUCUGCAUAGGACACUCUUCAUAGUCUCUGUCUAUCUCCCUCUCAUUAAAGUCUCAGUUUAAAGGUCACCUCCUCAGGGAAGCCUUCCUUGACCACCCAUCCUACAAUGCUGUCUAUUUCCUAGAUCCCUGCUUUAUUUCUUCUAUAAAACUUAUUAUUUUGCCACACUGGGGAUUGAACCCAGCCCCUUGUGCAUGCUAGACAAAUGCUCUAUUACUGAGCUACAUCUCUAGUUCUUUUUAUUUUAAGACAUGGUAUCACUAUGUUGCCUGGGCUGGCCUUGAACUUGUGAUCUUCUGAUCUUAGCCUUUCUGAGUAGUGGGGCCUACAGGUAUGCACCACUAUGUCUGACAGAGCUU
rnacentral:lncRNA from 1 species